rnacentral:rRNA from 1 species
GUGGGGAAUCUUGCGCAAUGGGCGAAAGCCUGACGCAGCCAUGCCGCGUGAAUGAUGAAGGUCUUAGGAUUGUAAAAUUCUUUCACCGGGGACGAUAAUGACGGUACCCGGAGAAGAAGCUCCGGCUAACUUCGUGCCAGCAGCCGCGAUAAUACGAAGGGGGCUAGCGUUGCUCGGAAUUACUGGGCGUAAAGGGCGCGUAGGCGGACAGCUUAGUCAGAGGUGAAAGCCCAGGGCUCAACCUUGGAAUUGCCUUUGAUACUGGCUGUCUUGAGUUUGGGAGAGGUGAGUGGAACUCCGAGUGUAGAGGUGAAAUUCGUAGAUAUUCGGAAGAACACCAGUGGCGAAGGCGACUCACUGGCCCAAUACUGACGCUGAGGCGCGAAAGCGUGGGGAGCAAACAGGAUUAGAAACCCGAGUAGUCC